rnacentral:lncRNA from 13 species
CACUGUUGAAUUUAUUAUGGAUUUAUUAUGGAUAAAUUAAUAAACAAUAUCCCCAUUUUAAAUAGAAUUGUAUCUAGGUAAACUUAUACUCUGUAUGUUUAAUAGACAAUAUGAGUUCAUAAGAAGAAAUUGUGUGACAGGAGAAAGGAGUAAUAAAAUGUUAAAGAACACCAUUCCAACUGGGCAGGAACAAAUGGGUUGUGGACUGUGUAAACACAUAAGGUCGUUAGCCUAUGGUUGACCCAACCUGAAAUUUAGCUCUGGGGUUUUUAGAUUAGGCAGUGAGUGCAUUCCUAGGGUUUCUGUUAAAUAAAACUGUCAGUUCAGUGUUGAUCGAUAAUGUUGAGGGGUCAAAAGUUAUCUGGGAGUGUGUUAGUAAGUGGGAAUGAACUUUUCACCUUACUUUGUCCUGUCGAGAGGGGGUUCGGUUAAGGCAGUGAAAUGACGUCAUGAUCUGUAUUUAAACUGAUGCAUGUGUUCGAGUGGUAGCGCGCUCCGAGAAUAAAUUAUAUUACCUAUUAUUUAAAGACUGGUCUGCGUCUAUUUUAUGCAAACAAGAAAUCUCAUAAAAUUCUCAUGAAAUAGAUUAAGGUCUUUCAAUUGAUGAAAACACAUUGGCAUAAUUUUAUUAACCAUAACAAUUGGUCCUUCGAGUGGAUUCCACAAACUUCUCUGUCGUCCGAAGGGAAAAGCCGAAAACCGUGCGCACGGACGAGGUUGGACUCGUUUAAAAGUCCUGGCCUCCAGCAGAGGUUUAAUAACAGGCCGGUAUAUAUAUCUUAGGUCGACAGAGAACGUGACGGAAUCGAACCGGCAUUGCUUUUCCCAGUCUACAGGACGAAGGUUUUAUGCCCAACAGGAGAACUACAGAAGGAGGUGGCACACCAGAUUCAACCGGGCAGAACUGUAUCAACAGGAUACGGGGGUUACACUCCUACUGAAGACUUCCCUUAUACCCGACCUUUCCCCGCUGUGAGCGUUCAUUGAAGUGGAGGUGUGUUUUGGCCUCUUGCUGAUGAUGUGUUCUCUAGGAGAGGGUGGGGCUUUAUAGGUG